rnacentral:rRNA from 1 species
UUGCUCUGAAUUCUAUGGCUAGAUAAAGUACAAGUCGUAACAAGGUUUCAGUUGGAGAACCAGCUGAAGGAUCAUUU